CAUUUCUUUCUCACAUCUUUCUCACAGAUCUCUCUUCUGCUAUUCUCGGGCUUACUAAAUCUCGCCUUCGAUUCCAACAAGUGCGAUCAAUCUUGCCCCUCAAUUCCCUUUACCUUUCUGUUGCCUUCUCUCUUUCGCCGUCGAUCUCUGCUUCGAUCCGUCUUCUCUCUCACAAAUCUUUGCUUCUGUCCCCUUCGAACCUUUUCUGGGGUGAAUAUGGUCCUCGCCACCGGAAGAUCCACGUCGCACGUCAAGAACAUCGCUCAAGCCCUAAUUUACAAGGCAGGUUUUUGAUAAAAUUCACCUUCACAUACUGACUAAAAACAUAUAAAGGCUGUUGGUGAUUGGUAUAAAGACAAAAUAAAAAAGGGUUUGGUGGUUGUACUUUUGAACUGCACAGGGUUGAGAAAGAAAAAAAAAAAAAAAAAGACAAUUUUGUUGGCAAUCAAUAUAAAGACAGAAUCCAAAAGGUAUUCUUGGAUGAUAUCAUUUGGUUUCAAUUUGUGACCUGUGAUUUGCAAUAUGGAUUAAUAAUCUCAAAAAAAAUUAUUCGUUAUUUUCUUCUUUUCGUAUAUAUUUUUUUUUCCAUGAUUGAUUUUGAAUAAAUUAACAUUUGUUUCUGAUGUAAGUGGCAAUUUAUAAUAGAUCGUCCCGUGUUUCUUUUUAGGCUUAACUUUUGUUAAUUAAAAUGUUGUUUCAUAACAGGUUUGACCCCAAUUUUGUCGUUGCGUUAUAACAAUGUGAUUCUAGCUUGCACAAACUACGAGGUUUGACCCCAAUUUUUUCGUUGCGUUAUAACAAUGUAAUUCUUGCUUGCACAAACUACAAGGUAUGCUCCAACCUAUUCUUUAACCAACAUUAUAGAAUCCAUUUUCUGUUGAAAAUUUUGAAUAUUCUGUGAUGGAAAAAGUUAUGAUAAAUUGCAAGGUAUAAAUUCUUUUAUGAGUUCUUCAGCUGAUUUGGGGCAUGUUUCUUUGCGAGCUUAAUUUCAUCUGGAAACAAAUAGUGUUUAGAAUCACCAAGUCGUACAAAAAGUAUUUUAAAUUGUUUUUUAACCAAUCUACUGCCAACUUUUCCAACGGGUUUCUUAUUUUAUUUUCCAUUAUUUUGCAAGAAACCAAAGCCUUUCCAUGAUCAAGAGUUAAUGUGUGCUUAAGAAUUAAUCUGUUUUGUUUGAUCAUUAUGUUAUAAUACUAUAUGUGGUUGCAAGUUUGAAAAAUGUAAGGAGACAGAUCAGUUAUAAACGAAUUAGCAUGGUUCAUCCUAAUGCUUUAUAAGUUAAGUUCCCGAUUUCUUUCCUCAUUUCUUCAUUAGUGAUUUGUAUUUUCAGUGACUUUUCAUUCUUGGGUAAUAAGUUUUUGUCAAGAGUAAUUGUGUUCAAUUCUUUCUUUUUUUUUUUUUUUUUUUAAAUUUAUGUUCUGUCUAGUUCUGUGUCAUGUGAUUGGAGUGUCAUAUGAUUAGAGGUUCCAAAAGAGAAACAUUACUUCUUUUAUUUGGUCAGACGAGGGGUGAGGAAGUUCUGUUCAAUUUUGGUUUUUCCGAUGGCUUAGGAAGAAAUUAUGUCACUAUUAAUAUUGCAGGUGUCCAACUUGCAAAAAUUACAAGUUAUGCUACAAUCUAUACUUCUUAGGUAGAUUUGAUUCAAAUUGAUAUAUUUCAGUGAGAAAAAAAAAAUUAUCUUUUCUUUUAGUUAAGAACUCUUAGAACUUCAAAUUUGUAAAAGAUGUGAAUAUUAGAACAAUGGCAAUAGAACCACUUUUAUCUUUUCUUUCAGUUAAGAACACUUAGGAUUUCAAAUUUGUAAAACAUGUGAAUAUUAGAACAAUGGCAAUACAACCGCCAAUCCAUAUGAUUGUAAACAGAUUUCAACAUAUAUCUAAAUAGUAUGACAUAUCAUAUGUAUUUAGCA